rnacentral:rRNA from 1 species
UCCUACGGGAGGCAGCAGUGGGGAAUUUUGGACAAUGGGCGAAAGCCUGAUCCAGCAAUGCCGCGUGCAGGAUGAAGGCCUCGGGUUGUAAACUGCUUUUGUACGGAACGAAAAAGCUCCUUCUAAUACAGGGGGGCCCAUGACGGUGAUGU